rnacentral:rRNA from 1 species
GAUGAACGCUGGCGGCGUGCCUAAUACAUGCAAGUCGAGCGAACAGACGAGGAGCUUGCUCCUCUGAUGUUAGCGGCGGACGGGUGAGUAACACGUGGAUAACCUACCUAUAAGACUGGGAUAACUUCGGGAAACCGGAGCUAAUACCGGAUAACAUGUUGAACCGCAUGGUUCAACAGUGAAAGACGGUCUUGCUGUCACUUAUAGAUGGAUCCGCGCCGCAUUAGCUAGUUGGUAAGGUAACGGCUUACCAAGGCAACGAUGCGUAGCCGACCUGAGAGGGUGAUCGGCCACACUGGAACUGAGACACGGUCCAGACUCCUACGGGAGGCGGCAGUAGGGAAUCUUCCGCAAUGGGCGAAAGCCUGACGGAGCAACGCCGCGUGAGUGAAGAAGGUCUUCGGAUCGUAAAACUCUGUUAUUAGGGAAGAACAAAUGUGUAAGUAACUAUGCACGUCUUGACGGUACCUAAUCAGAAAGCCACGGCUAACUACGCG